rnacentral:rRNA from 1 species
GAUGAACGCUGGCGGCGUGCCUAAUACAUGCAAGUCGAGCGAACAGACGAGGAGCUUGCUCCUCUGACGUUAGCGGCGGACGGGUGAGUAACACGUGGAUAACCUACCUAUAAGACUGGGAUAACUUCGGGAAACCGGAGCUAAUACCGGAUAAUAUAUUGAACCGCAUGGUUCAAUAGUGAAAGACGGUUUUGCUGUCACUUAUAGAUGGAUCCGCGCCGCAUUAGCUAGUUGGUAAGGUAACGGCUUACCAAGGCAAGGAUGCGUAGCCGACCUGAGAGGGGGAACGGCCACAUGGGGACGGAGAGACGGCCCAGACUCCGACGGGGGGCAGUAGUGGGGAAUAUGGUACAAUGGGCGGAAGCAUGAUGCAGCAACGCCGCGUGCGGGAUGACGGCCUUCGGGGUGGAAAACGCUGACGCCUGGGACGAAGCGUGAGUGACGGGAAGGGGGAAAGAAGCACCGGCGAACUACGUG